CCUACGGGAGGCAGCAGUGGGGAAUAUUGGACAAUGGGCGCAAGCCUGAUCCAGCAAUGCCGCGUGUGUGAAGAAGGUCUUCGGAUUGUAAAGCACUUUCGACGGGGACGAUGAUGACGGUACCCGUAGAAGAAGCCCCGGCUAACUUCGUGCCAGCAGCCGCGGUAAUACGAAGGGGGCUAGCGUUGCUCGGAAUGACUGGGCGUAAAGGGCGCGUAGGCGGAAUGUACAGUCAGGCGUGAAAUUCCCGGGCUGAACCUGGGGGCUGCGUUUGAUACGUGCGUUCUUGAGUGAGGAAGAGGGUCGUGGAAUUCCCAGUGUAGAGGUGAAAUUCGUAGAUAUUGGGAAGAACACCGGUGGCGAAGGCGGCGACCUGGUCCUUUACUGACGCUGAGGCGCGAAAGCGUGGGGAGCAAACAGGAUUAGAUACCCGAGUAGUCUAC
rnacentral:rRNA from 1 species